rnacentral:rRNA from 1 species
UACGGAGGGUGCAAGCGUUGUUCGGAAUUAUUGGGCGUAAAGGGCAGGUAGGUGGUCUUGAAAGUCUGCUGUGAAAUCCCCGAGCUUAACUUGGGAAGUGCGGCAGAUACUCCAAGACUAGAGUACUGGAGGGGUUCGUGGAAUUCCCGGUGUAGCGGUGAAAUGCGUAGAUAUCAGGAGGAACACCGGUGGUGUAGACGGCUUUCUGGACCGUAACUGACGCUGAGACACGAAAGGCGUGGGUAGCAAACAGG